GUGCAGUGAUGACCUUACAAACACAUCAUUCCGACCUCAAAUGUGGAGAGAGAUCUCAUUGAACUGAGCACA